rnacentral:rRNA from 1 species
CCCUUAGAUGUCCUGGGCCGCACGCGCGCUACACUGAUGCAUGCAACGAGUUUAUAACCUUGGCCUGAAAGGUCUGGGUAAUCUUUUGAACGUGCAUCGUGAUAGGGAUAGAUUAUUGCAAUUGUUAAUCUUGAACGAGGAAUUCCUAGUAAACGCGAGUCAUAGCUCGCAUUGAUUACGUCCCUGCCCUUUGUACACACCGCCCGUCGCACCUACCGAUUGAAUGGUUCGGUGAAGAUCUCGGACUUCGAUAUUUAUUCUUUAUUGAGUUUAUAUUGUGGGAAGUUAUCUAAACCUCAUCAUUUAGAGGAAGGUGAAGUCGUAACA